GACGAACGCUGGCGGCGUGCCUAAUACAUGCAAGUAGAACGCAGUUGCGAACGGGUGAGUAACGAGUAGUUAACUGCCUGGUAGCGGGGGAUAACUAUUGGAAACUAUAGCUAAUACCGCAUACUACCAGAUGGACCUGCGUUGUAUUAGCUAGUUGGUGGGGUAACGGCUCACCAAGGCAACGAUACAUAGCCGACCUGGGAGGGUGAGCGGCCAAACUGGGACUGAGACACGGCCAAGACUCCCACGGGAUGCAGCAGGAGGGAAUCUUCGGCAAUGGACGGAAGUCUGACCGAGCAACGCCGCGUGAGUGAAGAAGGGUGUCGGAGAGUAAAGCUCUGUUGGAAGAGAAGCGGUAUCUGACCAGAAAGGGACGGCUAACUACGUGCCAGCCGCCGCGGUAAUAC
rnacentral:rRNA from 1 species